UACGAAGGGUGCAAACGUUGCUCGGAAUUAUUGGGCGUAAAGCGCACGUAGGCGGAUUGUUAAGUCGGGGGUGAAAUCCUGGAGCUCAACUCCAGAACUGCCUUCGAUACUGGCGAUCUUGAGUCCGGGAGAGGUGAGUGGAACUCCGAGUGUAGAGGUGAAAUUCGUAGAUAUUCGGAAGAACACCAGUGGCGAAGGCGGCUCACUGGCCCGGUACUGACGCUGAGGUGCGAAAGCGUGGGGAGCAAACAGG
rnacentral:rRNA from 1 species